UACAAGUUCUAACACUAUAUCUAGAUGUAAAUAUCUUUCAAAAUAAUUUUACUUUGUCAUUACCUUUACAAUUGCUUCUUUUAUAUUAUUUGGAUCUAAUGUCUCUUUGUUUCCAUCCCUUAAAAAAGAAAAACAAUUUUUCAAUGCACAAGGAUAAAUUCUGGUCUUGUUUCACUGUAGAUCAAGUUUUAUUAUAUUUGGUGAAUUUUAAAGGGGUUGCUCAUAAUUAAAUGUUGGAACUUAUACGGACGUCCUGUUCUUGUGCUUGACAGGAUCUAGAACGAUUAAAGCCUGUCAUUCUGACUGGGGACUUGAAUUGUGCUCAUCAGGAAAUAGACAUCUACAAUCCAGCAGGUAAUAGAAGAAGUGCAGGUUUUAUAGAUGAAGAAAGGAAAUCAUUUCAGACAAACUUUUUAGACAAGGGUUUUGUGGAUACCUUUAGGAAACAGCACCCUGAUGUUGUGGGUUAUACUUAUUGGGGCUACAGACACAGUGAACGGAAAACUAACAGGGGGUGGCGGCUUGACUAUUUCCUUGUCUCCGAAUCGAUAUCAGACAUGGUUCACGACUCAUAUAUUCUCCCUGAUGUUAGUGGAAGCGAUCAGAGUCCAAUUGGCCUCAUUCUCAAGCUUUAGGCUCAGGAGUGACCAGACGACUAAUUUCAUAUCCAAAGCGUAAAAGCUGGAUUCUGAAGCUAAUUUAUGACAAUCUGUUUUGGUUUAUAUGGUCUUGUGUUCCAAAAAUGGUAGACUAAUGAGCACCUUCAAGGGCCGAUUUUGAGAGCAAGUUAUUUUCGUGUUUUAAUAGAGAAUUUGGUGAAUCUUUCUUG